rnacentral:rRNA from 1 species
UACAGAGGUCCCAAGCGUUGUUCGGAUUCACUGGGCGUAAAGGGUGCGUAGGCGGUCGGGUAAGUCUGAUGUGAAAUCUUCAAGCUCAACUUGGAAACUGCAUCGGAUACUAUUCGGCUCGAGGAAUGGAGGGGAGACUGGAAUACUUGGUGUAGCGGUGAAAUGCGCAGAUAUCAGGAGGAACACCGGUGGCGAAGGCGGGUCUCUGGGCCGAUACUGACGCUGAGGAGCGAAAGCGUGGGGAGCGAACAGG